rnacentral:rRNA from 1 species
AAGCAUAUCAAUAAGCGGAGGAAAAGAAACCAACAGGGAUUGCCCCAGUAACGGCGAGUGAAGCGGCAACAGCUCAAAUUUGAAAUCUGGCCCCCCAGGGCCCGAGUUGUAAUUUGCAGAGGAUGCUUUUGGCGCGGCGCCUUCCGAGUUCCCUGGAACGGGACGCCAUAGAGGGUGAGAGCCCCGUCUGGUCGGACGCCUAGCCUGUGUAAAGCUCCUUCGACGAGUCGAGUAGUUUGGGAAUGCUGCUCUAAAUGGGAGGUAUAUGUCUUCUAAAGCUAAAUACCGGCCAGAGACCGAUAGCGCACAAGUAGAGUGAUCGAAAGAUGAAAAGCACUUUGAAAAGAGGGUUAAACAGUACGUGAAAUUGUUGAAAGGGAAGCGCUUGUGACCAGACUUGGGCCCGGUGGAUCAUCCAGCGUUCUCGCUGGUGCACUCCGCCGGGUCCAGGCCAGCAUCAGUUCGCCGCGGGGGAGAAAGGCUUCGGGAACGUGGCUCCUACGGGAGUGUUAUAGCCCGUUGCACAAUACCCUGGGGCGGACUGAGGUUCGCGCUCCGCAAGGAUGCUGGCGUAAUGGUCAUCAGCGA